CUGCCAUGCUCUUGAUGAUAAUGGACUGAACUUCUGAACCUACCCUGGCCAAGGCAUUGAGGUGCAUAUCUUACAUACUAAAGCUGACCUGGCCUCCAGGUUCUCCCAGCAUCCUUCAGUCCUUACCUGGCAUACCUUGAACUUUCUGGGCUGCCCUUCCCUGAGAGGUUCUUCCUUCCCUAUAUAAUACAGGCAUUUGGUCUCUCUUUUCUCCUCCCCCUCCCCCUCCUCCUCCUACAGGCAUUUGGUCUCUCUUUUCUCCUCCCCC
rnacentral:lncRNA from 1 species